UGAUGGGCACGUGGGAUCCCAGCUCCAGGU
rnacentral:piRNA from 1 species